UUCUCCGCGUGGUCAGGGAAUGGCUACUCUAAUUGUAAUAUUGAAGUUGGAGUUUGAUUCUGGAAUUGAUGAUUGAUUAUUUAUUUAUUUAUUUAUAAUUAUUUAUUUAUUUCAUUCAUUUAUUUAUUUAUUUAUUUAUUUUAGGCUGCUCAAUGGCUGCGCUGUGUUGCUGCAUAUUACACGGUGCAGCCUUCUUGUUACUCUAUCCGUUAUCCGUUAUUUGUUGGCGAUCCAUAUUAUGGCGCGGUAUCAUUGCCAUGUGGUCGUAGGGAAUUCAAUGGGUAUCGGUAUCUGUAUUUGUAUUCGGAUCUGGACUGUCCUGCGAAUCACAGAGGUUAUGGAGAGCCGGAUUUGCACACUAUGGUACAGUGCUCUUCACUCGCUUAUGCACUAAUUAUGCUGUUAUUACGGUACAGUACAAUAUUACAACAUCUAUCUUACAGUAUUUCAAUUUCAAUCUUAGAAUUAAUUUAUAUAAUUGCAUCUAAUCCAAUUUAGUCCAUGAGCUCCAUAUGUUGUACCUGGGUGUAUUCGGAUCCUAUUAUUUAAUAAUGGGCAAUUAAUUUUCUGGUGUUUGGGACCCUGGGGGAAUUUAAACUGAAUUCAUUCACGAAUGCUUUACUUCAUAUCAACUGACGGGAUACAUUGGUUUCAGAAUUCAAAUUUCAAUCAAUAUCAAUUACAAUACAUUGAAAUAUUAUUUCGUAUAAUUCUCUUGUACAAUAUCCUUGCCAUCUUAGGCAUUCUUUUGGUAACGCUGAUUCAAUUUCAACUUUAACUUUAACUUAUUUUAUCUUAUUCUUAUUCUUCAGGUAAUGGAAAUGGAGUUUGAACUUGGUUGGUUAGGGAGCGGCUACUCUAACUGUAAUGUAAUAUAAGAAGUUGAUUCUGGAAUUUGUAUUUUAGGUCGCUUAAUGGCUACGCUGUGCUGUGCAUCUAACAUGGCACAGCCUUCCUGCUGCUCUAUCCGUUAUUCGUCGGCGAUACGUAUUAUUGUGCGGUAUCAUCGCCAUGCGGGUUUAAGGAGUUGAUGGAUGUCAGUAUUUGUAUCUGUAUUCGUAUCUGGAUCUAGAUUGUCCUGCAGAUUACAAAAGUUAUGUAGAGUCGGAUUUGUGCACUGUGGUACAGCGCUCUCCACUCACUUAAUGCACUAAUUAUGCUGUUGUUACGGUACAGUACAAUAUUUACAAUAUCUAUUUUAUAGUAUUUCAACUUCAAUCUUAUAAUUAAUUUAUAUAACUGCAUUUGAUUCAAUUUAGUUCGUGAGCUCUAUAUGUUGUACCAGGGUGUAUUCGGAUCCUAUUAUUUAAUCACGGUCAAUUAAUUUCCUGGUGUUUGGAACCUCGGGGAACUUAGAUUGGAAUUCAUUCGCUAAUGUUCUACUUCAUAUCAAUUGUUGGAAUACAUUGGUCUCAAAAUCCAAUUUCAUUUAAUAUUAAUUACAGUAUAUUGAAAUAUUAUUUUGUAUAAUUUUCUUGUACAACAUCCUUGCCACUUUAAUUAUUCGUUUGGUGACGCUGAUUCAAUUUCAAUUCAACUUUAAAUUUAACUUAUUAUCUUAUUCUUAUUCUUCAGGUAAUGGAAUUGGAGUUUGAACUUGUUUGGUUAGGGAGUGGUUACUCUAAUUGUAAUGUAAUAUAAGAAGUUGAUUCUGGAAUUGUUUUUUAUUGUAUUUUAGGAUACUUAAUGGUUACGCUGUGCUGUGCAUCUAACAUGGCACAGCUUCCUGCUGCUCUAUCUGUAUUUUGUCGAUGACCCGUAUUAUUGAGCGGUAUCAUUGCGGGCCUAAGGAAUUUGAUGGAUGUCUGUGUCUGUAUCUGUAUCUGGAUCUGGAUCAUCGUGCUGCAGAUUACGGAGGUUACGUAGAGUCGGGUGUGCGCACUGUGGUACGGCGCUCUCCGCUCACUUAAUGCACUAAUUAAUGCGCUAAUUAUGUUGUUGCUACGGCACGGUAUAAUGUCUACAAUAUCUACAAUAUUUAUCUUACAGUACUUUAAUCUUUCAAUCUUAUAAUUAAUUUAUAUAAUUGCAUUUGAUUCGAUUCAACUCAGUUUGGUCCGUGAGCUCCAUGUGUUGCACCGGGGUGUAUCCGGAUCCUAUUAUGUAUCUGCGGUCAAUUAACUUCCUGGUGCUUGGGGCUCUGGGGAAAGCUGGAUUGGAAUUCAUUCACUAAUGUUUACUUCACACCAACUGUCGGGAUACAUUGAUUUAUGAUUUAACUCCAUCCAAGUUAAUCACAACAUAUUGAAAUAUUAUUUCUGUAUAAUUUGCUGGUAUAAUAUCCUUGUCAUGUAAUUAUUCUUCUGGGGACGCUGAUUUAACUUCAGCUUUAACUUUAACUUAUUUCUAUUUAUUAUUUCAUCUUAUUUUAUUCUUCAGGUGAUAAAUUAGAGUCUGAAUUUGUCUGGUCAGGGAAUGGUUACUCUCAUUGUAAUAUAAGAAGCUUGAUUCUGAAAUUUAUAUUUUAGUUCCUUAUACUUUUGGUUCCUUAAUGGCUGCGAUGUGUCGCUGCAUAUUACACGGCGCAGCCUCCCCGUCGCUCUAUUAUUUACUGGUGGUUCGCAUUGCACGGUAUCGGGGCCAUGUGAUCUUGAGGAAUUCAAUGGGUAUCUAUAUCUGUAUCUGUAUCUGUAUCUGGAUCUGGAUCUGGUUGUCCUGCGGAUUACAGAAGUUAUGUAGAGUCGGAUUUGCGCACUGUGGUACAGCGCUCUCCACUCACUUAAUGCACUAAUUAUGCUGUUGUUACGGAUGCUUAAUGGUUACGCUGUGCUGUGCAUCUAACAUGGCACAGCUUCCUGCUGCUCUAUCCGUAUUUUUGCCGGUGAUCCGUAUUAUUGAGCGGUAUCAUUGCGGGCCUAAGGAAUUUGAUGGAUGUUUGUAUCUAUAUCUGGAUUUGGAUCAUCGUGCUGCAGAUUACAGAGGUUACGUAGAGACGGGUGUGCGCACUAUGGUACGGCGCUCUCCACUCGCUUAAUGCACUAAUUAAUGCACUAAUUAUGCUGUUGCUACGGUACGGUACUAUGUCUACAAUAUCUACAAUAUUUAUCUUACAGUAUUUCAAUCUCAUAAUUAAAUUAUAUAACUGCAUUUGAUUCAAUUUAGUCCGUGAGCUCUAUAUGUUGUACCAGGGUAUAUCCGGACCAUAUUAUUCAACCAUGGUCAAAUAAUUUCCUGGUGCUUGGAACCUCGGGGGAAUUUAGACUGGAAUUUAUUCACUAAUGUUUUACUUCAUAUCAAUUGCUGGAAUACAUUGGCCCUAAAAUCCAACUUCACUCAAUAUUAACUACAAUCUAUUGAAAUAUUAUUCUGUAUAAUUUUCUUGUACAACAUCCCUGCCAUUUAAUUAUUCUUGCCAUUUUAAUUAUUCUUCUGGUGACGCUGAUUCAAUUUCAAUCUCAACUUUAAAUUUAACUUAUUUUAUUUUACCCUAUUCUUAUUCUUAUUCGUUAGGUAAUGGAAUCGGAGCUUGAUCUUGUUUGGUUAAGGAGCGGCUACUCUAAUUGUAAUGUAAUAUAAGAAGUUGAUUCUGGAAUUUAUUUAUAUAUAUAUAUUUUAGGUGGCUUAAUGGUUACGCUGAGCUAUGCAUCCUACAUGGCACAGCUUCCUGCUGCUCUAUCUAUUUAUUUACCGAUGAUCCGUAUUAUUGCGCGCCAUUGCCAUGCAGGCUUAAUGAGUUCGAUGGGCAUCUGGAUCUGGAUCUGGAUCUGGAUCAUUACGCUGCAGAUUGUGGGAGUUAUGGAAUUACGUAAAAUCGGAUUGCGCAUUGUAGUACUGCGUUCUCCACUCACUUAACGCAUUGAUAACGCAUUCAUGCGGUUAUGACGGUACAGUACAGUUCAAUAUUUGUUCGAUAUUUACUCUACGAUACUCGAAUCUUAUAAUUAAUAUAACUGCAUAUAAGGGCAUUUGAUUGAAGUUACUCUGUGAGCUCAAUAUGUUGUACCGGGGUGAAUCCGGAUCCCAUUAUUUACCUACGGGCAAUUGAUUUCUUGAUGUUGGGACUCUGGGGGAGCUUAGACUGGAAUUCACCCGCUAAUGUUUUAUUCCACAUCGAUCUUCAGAACACAUUGAUUUCAAACUCAGUUUCACCUAAUAUUAAUUACAAUAUAUUGAUAUAUUAUUCUCUCAA